ensembl:snRNA U1 U1 spliceosomal RNA
AUACUAAAUAUAUAAUGGCCACUUGAUCACAAAGAUGAUUUUCCCAGAGGAAGGCUUAUGCAUUGCACUCUGGGUUUGCUGACCCCUGUGAUUUCAACAAAUGAAUGUGGGAAACUCGACAGCAGAAUUUGUGAUAGUUGGGUUGGGGACUGCAUUCACACUCCUC